CCUGGUUGAUUCUGCCAGUGGUCAUAUGCUUGUCUAAAAGAUUAAGCCAUGCAUGUCUCAGAUUAACGAAAGUUAACUAGGAAUCUGCGAACGGCUCAUUAAAUCUCCUGUAAUCUAUUUGAUAGUACUCCUUACUAGGAUAACUGAGGAAAAACUUGAGCUAAUACUUGCUAAAAUCCCCGACUUUUUGGAAGGGGUGUAUUUAUUAGAUACAAAAAUCAACUCCGGGUUAACGCCCGGGUCCCUUGAUGAUUCAUAAUAACUUCUCGAAUCGCAUGGCCCUGCGCCGGCGAUGAUUCAUUCGAACGUGAGCCCUAUCAACUUUCGACGGGUGUGUAGUGGACAUCCGUGGUUUUUACGGGUACGGGGAAUUGGGGUUCGAUUCCGGAGAGCUGGCCUGAGAGACGGCCAGCACUUCCAAGGAAGGCAGCAGGCGCGCAAAUUGCCCUAAUCCCAAAUCGGGGAGGCAGUGACAAUAAAUAACUAAGAUCUUCCCUACGGGACGAUCUAUAGGAAUGAGUUAAAUGUAAAUACCUAAACGAGGAGCAACUGGUGGGCAAGUCUGGUGCCAGCAGCCGCGGUAAUUCCAGCACCAGUAGCGUAUGCUAAAGUUGUUGCAGUUAAAAAGCUCGUAGCUGAAGUUUGGGAUUGACGGGCAGGGUCCGCCGGGACGGUGAGUACCAGCCAUUCGUCUUUCCUUCCUUCCGGUUUUUGCUCGCGGGCGGGGCUUCAUUGCUUCGUCCGUGCUAGCUCCGGAUCUUUCACUGUGAAAAAAUUAGAGUGUUCAAAGCAGGCCUAAUUAUGCCUUGAAUAUUUCAGCAUGGGAUGAUGGAACAGGUCUUUGCGCCUAUUUUGUUGGUUUCUAGGAGGCGAAGAAAUGAUUAAUGGGAACAGUUAGGGGAAUUCGUAUUUAACAGUCAGAGGUGAAAUUCUUGGAUUUGUGAAAGACGAACUUCUGCGAAAGCAUUUUCCAGAGAUGCUUCCGUCAGUCAAGAACUAAAGUUGGGGGAUCGAAGAUGAUCAGAUACCGUCGUAGUCUCAACCAUAAACUAUGCCGACCAGGGAUUCGGGGCACGUUAAAACACAUUUAUUGGACGACUCCCCGAGCACCUUGCGAGAAAUCAUUGAGUCUUUGGGUUCUGGGGGGAGUAUGGUCGCAAGGCUGAAACUUAAAGAAAUUGACGGAAGGGCACACCAAGAGUGGAGCCUGCGGCUUAAUUUGACACAACGCGGGGAAUUUUACCAAGUCCGGACAGAAAAAGGAUUGACAGAUUAAAGCUCUUUCUUGAUUUUUUGGGUGGUGGUGCAUGGCCGUUUGUAGUUGGUGGAGUGAUUUGUCUGCUUAAUUGCGUUAACGAACGAGACCUCAGCCUGCUAAAUAGUUAUGCGAACCUUCUGCUUGGGUGAAGGCGCGGCGGGCA
rnacentral:rRNA from 1 species